rnacentral:rRNA from 1 species
GACAGAGGGGGCAAGCGUUGCUCGGAAUCACUGGGCGUAAAGGGCGCGUAGGCGGGAUGACAAGUCGGUCGUGAAAUCCCUGGGCUCAACUCAGGGGGGUCGGCCGAUACUGCCAUUCUUGAGGGAUGCAGAGGAGACUGGAAUACCCGGUGUAGCGGUGAAAUGUGUAGAGAUCGGGAGGAACACCGGUGGCGAAGGCGGGUCUCUGGGCAUUCCCUGACGCUGAGGCGCGAAAGCGUGGGGAGCAAACGGG